UGGGGAAUAUUGCACAAUGGGCGCAAGCCUGAUGCAGCCAUGCCGCGUGUAUGAAGAAGGCCUUCGGGUUGUAAAGUACUUUCAGCGGGGAGGAAGGGAGUAAAGUUAAUACCUUUGCUCAUUGACGUUACCCGCAGAAGAAGCACCGGCUAACUCCGUGCCAGCAGCCGCGGUAAUACGGAGGGUGCAAGCGUUAAUCGGAAUUACUGGGCGUAAAGCGCACGCAGGCGGUUUGUUAAGUCAGAUGUGAAAUCCCCGGGCUCGACCUGGGAACUGCAUCUGAUACUGGCAAGCUUGAGUCUCGUAGAGGGGGGUAGAAUUCCAGGUGUAGCGGUGAAAUGCGUAGAGAUCUGGAGGAAUACCGGUGGCGAAGGCGGCCCCCUGGACGAAGACUGACGCUCAGGUGCGAAAGCGUGGGGAGCAAACAGG
rnacentral:rRNA from 1 species